GUGCUGGCUUUGGCAGCACAUACAAAAUUGGAACUAUACAAAGAUUAGCGUGGUCUCUGCACAAGGGUGACAUGCAAAUGCAUGAAGCGUCCCGUAUUUUU
ensembl:snRNA U6 U6 spliceosomal RNA